rnacentral:rRNA from 1 species
AACGAACGCUGGCGGCAUGCCUAACACAUGCCAGUCGAACGAGACCUUCGGGUCUAGUGGCGCACGGGUGCGUAACGCGUGGGAACCUGCCCUUAGGUUCGGAAUAACUCCCCGAAAGGGGUGCUAAUACCGGAUAAUGUCUUCGGACCAAAGAUUUAUCGCCUUUGGAUGGGCCGGCGUUGGAUUAGCUAGUUGGUAGGGUAAAAGCCUACCAAGGCGACGAUCCAUAGCUGGUCUGAGAGGAUGAUCAGGCACACUGGGACUGAGACACGGCCCAGACUCCUACGGGAGGCAGCAGUGGGGACUAUUGGACAAUGGGCGAAAGCCUGAUCCAGCAAUGCCGCGUGAGUGAUGAAGGCCUUAGGGUUGUAAAGCUCUUUUACCCGGGAUGAUAAUGACAGUACCGGGAUAAUAAGCUCCGGCUAACUCCGUG